UGAGUACGAGAUGCUACGGCGUCGAAGCAGUCUAGGUCAUACUUCCAAGAAAAGCUUGCACUGUCAUAAACAAAGAAUGCCUGUACCAUAACCGACACAGGUGGGUAGGUAGAGUAUACUAAGGGGCGCGAGAUAACUCUCUCUAAGGAACUCGGCAAAAUGACCCCGUAACUUCGGGAGAAGGAGUGCCUUAUUUUUAAGGUUGCAAUAACAAGAUCCAAGCAACUGUUUACCAAAAACACAGGUCUCCGCUAAGUCGUAAGACGAUGUAUGGGGGCUGACGCCUGCCCAGUGCCAGAAGGUUAAAGAAGUUGGUUAGCAUUUGCGAAGCUGAUAACUGAAGCCCUGGUGAACGGCGGCCGUAACUAUAACGGUCCUAAGGUAGCGAAAUUCCUUGUCGGGUAAGUUCCGACCCGCACGAAAGGCGUAAUGAUUUGGAUACUGUCUCGGAGAGGGGCUCGGUGAAAUAGACUUGUCUGUGAAGAUGCGGACUACCUGCACCUGGACAGAAAGACCCUAUGAAGCUUUACUGUAACUUGAGAUUGAAAUUGGACUUUAUUUGCGCAGUAUAGGUGGGAGGCGUUGAGAAUAAUCUUGCGGGAUUAUCGGAGCCAUCAGUGAGAUACCACUCUUGUAAUGUUAGAUUUCUAACUUUGUAUCAUUAUCUGGUCAAAGAACAGUUUCAGGCGGGCAGUUUGACUGGGGCGGUCGCCUCCCAAAGGGUAACGGAGGCGCACAAAGGUUUCCUCUGAACGGGUAGAAAUCGUAUCUAGAGUGUAAAGGCAUAAGGAAGCUUGACUGUGAGACCUACAAGUCGAGCAGGGACGAAAGUCGGUCUUAGUGAUCUGACGGUGCUGAGUGGAAAGGCCGUCACUCAACGGAUAAAAGUUACUCUAGGAUAACAGGCUGAUCUCCCCCAAGAGUUCACAUCGACGGGGAGGUUUGGCACCUCGAUGUCGGCUCAUCGCAUCCUGGGGCGGUAGUACGUCCCAAGGGUUGGGCUGUUCGCCCAUGAAAGCGGUACGCGAGCUGGGUUCAGAACGUCGUGAGACAGUUCGGUCCAUAUCCGGUGUAGGCGUUAGAAUAUUGAAAGGAGCCUUCUCUAGUACGAGAGGACCGAGAAGGACAUACCUCUGGUGUGCCAGUUAUCGUGCCAACGGUAAACGCUGGGUAGCUAUGUAUGGAGUGGAUAACCGCUGAAAGCAUCUAAGUGGGAAGCCCACCUUAAGAUAAGUAUUCUCAC
rnacentral:rRNA from 1 species